GAAAACUGGAGUCUGAAUUUGGACAAGUAGUCUUAAUAAAAGUUGUACUUCGUCUCGAUAGGAGUUCGUAGGUGCAAACGGUUUGCAAAUCCGAGUUCGGACGAGAAAGAUAUGGCCAGAACAAGAAAGUCGCGCGCAGCAGUGAAUAGUGUCCGACGGGAAUUUCCGAAUUUUCGGGAAUUUUCGGGAUUUUCGGAUUUUAUCAGUAUUUUCGAGUUCUACACUGUAUUUAUCUCCUGU
rnacentral:lncRNA from 1 species